rnacentral:rRNA from 1 species
UACGGAGGGUGCAAGCGUUAUCCGGAUUCACUGGGUUUAAAGGGUGCGUAGGUGGGUAGGUAAGUCAGUGGUGAAAUCUCCAAGCUUAACUUGGAAACUGCCAUUGAUACUAUUUAUCUUGAAUUUUCUGGAGGUGAGCGGAAUAUGUCAUGUAGCGGUGAAAUGCUUAGAUAUGACAUAGAACACCAAUUGCGAAGGCAGCUUACUACGGAUCGAUUGACACUGAGGCACGAAAGCGUGGGGAUCAAACAGG